rnacentral:rRNA from 1 species
GACCGCCUGGGGAGUACGGCCGCAAGGUUAAAACUCAAAUGAAUUGACGGGGGCCCGCACAAGCGGUGGAGCAUGUGGUUUAAUUCGAUGCAACGCGAAGAACCUUACCUACUCUUGACAUCCAGAGAACUUAGCAGAGAUGCUUUGGUGCCUUCGGGAACUCUGAGACAGGUGCUGCAUGGCUGUCGUCAGCUCGUGUUGUGAAAUGUUGGGUUAAGUCCCGCAACGAGCGCAACCCUUAUCCUUUGUUGCCAGCGAUUCGGUCGGGAACUCAAAGGAGACUGCCAGUGAUAAACUGGAGGAAGGUGGGGAUGACGUCAAGUCAUCAUGGCCCUUACGAGUAGGGCUACACACGUGCUACAAUGGCAUAUACAAAGAGAAGCGACCUCGCGAGAGCAAGCGGACCUCAUAAAGUAUGUCGUAGUCCGGAUUGGAGUCUGCAACUCGACUCCAUGAAGUCGGAAUCGCUAGUAAUCGUGGAUCAGAAUGCCACGGUGAAUACGUUCCCGGGCCUUGUACACACCGCCCGUCACACCAUGGGAGUGGGUUGCAAAAGAAGUAGGUAGCUUAACCUUCGGGAGGGCGCUUACCACUUUGUGAUUCAUGACUGGGGUGAAGUCGUAACAAGGUAACCGUAGGGGAACCUGCGGUUG